AGAGAGAGACAUGCGCGCAUAUCAAUAAGCGGAGGAAAAGAAACUAACAAGGAUUCCCUUAGUAACGGCGAGUGAAGCGGGAAGAGCUCAAAUCUGAAAUCUUCAAGGUUCUACCUUGACGAAUUGUAGUUUAUAGAAGUGUUUUCUGUUAGUGGAGUGGCAAAAGUUCUCUGGAAUAGGACAUCAUAGAGGGUGAGAAUCCCGUAUUUGGUCAUUCCUUCUAGCGUUGUGACUACACUUUCAAAGAGUCGGAUUGUUUGGGAAUGCAGUCCAAAAUGGGUGGUAAAUUUCAUCUAAAGCUAAAUAUUGGCGAGAGACCGAUAGCGAACAAGUACCGUGAGGGAAAGAUGAAAAGAACUUUGAAAAGAGAGUUAAACAGUACGUGAAAUUGUCAAAAGGGAAGCGUUUGACACCAGUGUUGUUUUUCCGAAAAUCAAUUAGAAUGUUUUGUUUCUGAGGAGUUAUGACUUCAUCGGCUUGCCUUCUCUCUUCACGAAACUUUUGUAAUGCACUUUUCGGUUAACAAGUCAACAUCAAUUUCUUUUGUUGUAAAAGGGUAUGAGGAAGGUGGCUUUACAUUUCGGAGUAAGUGUUUAUAGCCUCUUACCUCUGCAAUCGGAGAGAUUGAGGUCAUGCAGCGUAGACUCCUUCGGGGUUAGAUACACUUUGUGCUAAGUUAUAGCUUGUCAUAGACAACUUGUUGACUAUGUUUAGUCAUUGUAGCUUACUCGCUGUAUGCUAUUUUACCUACGCUUAGGAUGUUGAUAGUCACAGCGUGUAC
rnacentral:rRNA from 1 species